CAAGAACAGUGGAACAUAAGAAUAGAAGACCGGUGUGGUGGAUCAAAGGUUCCUGUGUCCAGACAGCGUUUUCUCUAUUUGAGUGUUUACAUCAUGUACCUUUUCCCAGCGACAAGGGCUUUGAGGUGAUCUGCUCAGAUUUGCUUGAAAAGCCACACAUCACCUUCUCUUCCUCCACUGACGGGGCCUCCGAGGCCACACUGAAGGGCUACCAGGUCCUCAUUGGUACUAGCUUCAACAUCACAUGCUCCAUCAGACCUCAGUAUGAAGGAGGAGAUUUCCAGCUCAUCUUCUCUGACUCCAACACAACACAGAGCUACACCCUGACAGCUGUCAACCAUUCUGCCCAUUUCCUGUUUCCUCCUGCAAACCAGAGCCACGGAGGGCAGUACAGCUGUGUUUAUCACCUCCAUGUUUUCUCCCAUAACUUCUCCUCAGAGAGCCAGACUCUCUCUCUCACUGUCGGAGCCCCUCUGAUAGACCUGAUCAUCAGAUGUGUGGUCCUGCUUGGUGGUCUGCUGAUAAUCACCACUGCCCUCUACUGCUGCUAUAAGGUCAAAACCAAGCGGCAACCUCCAGUCCUGAAAAAUGAAGACAAUGUGGAAAUGCAA